CAGGCCUAACACAUGCAAGUCGAGCGGCAGCGCGGGGGCAACCUGGCGGCGAGCGGCGGACGGGUGAGGAAUGCAUCGGAAUCUACCCUGUCGUGGGGGAUAACGUAGGGAAACUUACGCUAAUACCGCAUACGACCGAGAGGUGAAAGUGGGGGACCGCAAGGCCUCACGCGAUUGGAUGAGCCGAUGCCGGAUUAGCUAGUUGGUGGGGUAAAGGCCCACCAAGGGGACGAUCCGUAGCUGGUCUGAGAGGAUGAUCAGCCACACUGGGACUGAGACACGGCCCAGACUCCUACGGGAGGCAGCAGUGGGGAAUAUUGGACAAUGGGCGCAAGCCUGAUCCAGCCAUGCGGCGUGUGUGAAGAAGGCCUUCGGGUUGUAAAGCACUUUUGUUCGGGAAGAAAUCGUGCGGGUUAAUACCCUGUUAGGAUGACGGUACCCAAAGAAUAAGCACCGGCUAACUUCGUGCCAGCAGCCGCGGUA
rnacentral:rRNA from 1 species